AAAGUCGUAACAAGGUUUCCGUAGGUGAACCUGCGGAGGGAUCAUUACCGAGUUUACAACUCCCAAACCCCUGUGAACAUACCUUACUGUUGCCUCGGCGGAUCAGCCCGCUCCCGGUAAAACGGGACGGCCCGCCAGAGGACCCCUAAACUCUGUUUCUAUAUGUAACUUCUGAGUAAAACCAUAAAUAAAUCAAAACUUUCAACAACGGAUCUCUUGGUUCUG
rnacentral:misc_RNA from 1 species